AAAUCUCAUCCUAAUCUGGUAGCAUCUUUCGAACCUUGCCACCGAUUUGGCAUGGGAUUGAC
rnacentral:pre_miRNA from 1 species